ensembl:snRNA U6 U6 spliceosomal RNA
GUGCUCACUUCAGCAGCACAUAUACUAAAAUUGGAGUGAUACAGAGAGCAGCAUGGCCAUUGUGCAAGGACAACUCACAAAUUCUGGAAGUGUUCCAUAUCUUU